AUUGAACGCUGGCGGCAGGCCUAACACAUGCAAGUCGAACGAGUGGCGGACGGGUGAGUAAUGUCUGGGAAACUGCCUGAUGGAGGGGGAUAACUACUGGAAACGGUAGUUAAUACCGCAUACCAUCGGAUGUGCCCAGGUGGGAUUAGCUAGUAGGUGGGGUAAUGGCUCACCUAGGCGACGAUCCCUAGCUGGUCUGAGAGGGUGACAAGCCACACUGGAACUGAGACACGGUCCAGACUCCUACGGGAGGCAGCAGUGGGGAAUAUUGAACAAUGGGCGCAAGCCUGAUGCAGCCAUGCCGCGUGUAUGAAGAAGGCCUUCGGGUUGUAAAGUACUUUCAGCGGGGAGGCGUUACCCGCAUAAGAAGCACCGGCUAACUCCGUGCCAGCCGCCGCGGUAAUAC
rnacentral:rRNA from 1 species